rnacentral:rRNA from 1 species
GAUGGCGGGGUAACGGCCCACCAUGGCUUCGACGGGUAGCCGGCCUGAGAGGGCGACCGGCCACAUUGGGACUGAGAUACGGCCCAGACUCCUACGGGAGGCAGCAGUGGGGAAUAUUGCACAAUGGGCGCAAGCCUGAUGCAGCGACGCCGCGUGCGGGAUGACGGCCUUCGGGUUGUAAACCGCUUUUGAUCGGGAGCAAGCCUUCGGGUGAGUGUACCUUUCGAAUAAGCACCGGCUAACUACGUGCCAGCAGCCGCGGUAAUACGUAGGGUGCAAGCGUUAUCCGGAAUUAUUGGGCGUAAAGGGCUCGUAGGCG